rnacentral:rRNA from 1 species
AACGAACGCUGGCGGCAGGCCUAAUACAUGCAAGUCGAGCGCACCUUCGGGUGAGCGGCGGACGGGUGAGUAACGCGUGGGAACAUACCUUUUGGUGCGGAAUAGCCUCGGGAAACUGAGAGUAAUACCGCAUGUGCCCUUAGGGGGAAAGAUUUAUCGCCAAGAGAUUGGCCCGCGUCUGAUUAGAUAGUUGGUGGGGUAACGGCCUACCAAGUCGACGAUCAGUAGCUGGUUUGAGAGGAUGAUCAGCCACACUGGGACUGAGACACGGCCCAGACUCCUACGGGAGGCAGCAGUAGGGAAUCUUAGACAAUGGGGGAAACCCUGAUCUAGCCAUGCCGCGUGUGUGAUGACGGCCUUAGGGUUGUAAAGCACUUUCGCCGGGGAAGAUAAUGACGGUACCCGGUAAAGAAGUCCCGGCUAACUCCG